ACAUUAUACAAUUCAUGCUAUUGUUGCGUGGAAACAACUGUCAACUUAAUGAUGAUUUAUGUAACAAAAGAUUUAAAAAUUAGUGAAAAAGAAGAUUAUCUCUGUCACGAACAAAAUUUUAAAUAUAUUUUCUUGAUAUUUUUUUUACAUUGUAGUAAAAUAGAAAUAUCAAAGUUCCUGAUUGUGAACAAUCACAUUAUUCAUUUUAGAUAAUAGUCGCGUUCCGUUGAUACAAAUGUUAUGUUCAUUAUUAUCGUUAAUGAAAGAUGUUGAGGUGAAGGCCAAAAACUGAACGAAAAAGAAGAAUAUAAAUUUUUACGAAGUUUAGUUACGUGUUUUAUUAUUAUUGAAAUGUUAAUUUUCGUAUUUAAAUUAGGAAAUUUAAUCGAUUAAUGAUUCAUAUUACUCACUUUGGCACAACUUAGAACUCGUUUGGAUAACAGAGACGGCUCCUGAUGUAAAAAUUAAAUCCGGACGAUGAUUUUUGGUAAUCGAAUUUAUUAAAAUUAACACUCACCAAAGCCGAUUAUACGUAAAAAUGCUGUCACUAACAAUAACUGAAUAUUUAUAGUUAGAAUAAUGUCAACGGGCAAAUUUUCCAACUAAAUCUUUAUUAUAUGUGAUUAACCAUAUAAUUAUCAUUAAUAGGUAUAACGAAAUGUUUGUUAUUAUUUGUUUACGAAAACGUUUUUAAUACCUAAACACUAAACACAAUCAAUUUACUUUUAUUAAUAUACAUUUACAUAAUUACCAAGUCACGCGAUAUCUACAUAUUGUAAAUCUCAAUUUAGUGAUGUCUGAAAUCCUAUCAAGUGACCUUAAGAUAUGGAAAUUUUUACUGAUCAACAUUUCAAGGUUAAGUUUCGAUCGAAAAAUCCGAUUUCCUCACUUUAAUUCAAUGAUAUUCCAUUCUAUAGGAACACUAUCUGCGUACACCUCGUAUAUAUGUGUUUAGCGAAAUUAAUCCCCACCAGAAUCGAGUACGAGUCAUAAUAAUAGAAUGAAAUGCAAAUUUAAACGAAAAUUAACCUCAAAUUCCAUGCAAAUAUUGAAAAUAAUUUUGUUUUUGUUAUACUUUUUGAUCACACCUCGUAUACAUGUGUCUAGCGAAAUUAAUCCCCACCAGAAUCGAGUACGAGUCAUAAUCAUCGAAUUAAAUGCAAAUUUAAACGAAACACAACCUCAAAUUCCAUGCAAAUAUUGAAAAUAAUUUUGUUUUUGUUAUACUUUUUGAUCACACCUCGUAGAUAUAGUUUACAGCAAAAUUAUUCGCCGACGUAAUCGAAUAAAAUGCAAAUAUACACGAAAAUUAUUAUUAAAUUUUAUUCCAAUUGAAAGAUUUU